rnacentral:misc_RNA from 1 species
UGCAAAUUAAAAUUUUGUGAAUAAACGCCCAAAAAUACCAUCAGAUCUGAAAAUUCAUCAGAAAACUUAUGGAAACUAAAUCCUCUCCAAAAUCCCGCCAGCAAUUGGGAUCUUAAAAUUACAAACUAGAAUAUCAUUUUCAUUUCACAUGGAUCCAUCCAGACACCCCAAAUUCCAAGCACAAAAUGACCUAAAAUCCAACAGCCAGCAUUUACAAGUAAAAGAAAUGACUUGCACUAAGGAGGCAAAAAGGAAAGAAAAAAAAAAACUAUAUCCCCAAACAAACUAAAAACUAACGAUAGAUUACCACAAAUACCAUUAAAAACAACGACCCAUUUAUCCCAAAUGUUCAGAUCCACUAAAACACACACACACACGAAGUUCGAACAAAUCCAAAACUGGAGCAGCCUUCACAGUUUGUGCUCUGAUUUCUAGUACAGUAUAAAUUGAAGGAAAUCGCAAAAAGAGGAAUUUGAACAAAAUCUAAGCAUUAAAC